GCAGUACUCCCUCCGUUCGAAAAAGCUUAUCCCAAACUUGUUCAUCAAAUAGAUGUAUCUAGCACUAAUUUGAUGCUAGAUACAUUCAUUUCAGAGACAAGCUUUUUCGGACGAAGGGAGUACAUA
rfam:Triticum aestivum genome assembly, contig: Triticum_aestivum_CS42_TGACv1_scaffold_221321_3B